rnacentral:rRNA from 1 species
UUAAGCGACUAAGCGUACACGGUGGAUGCCCUGGCAGUCAGAGGCGAUGAAGGACGUGCUAAUCUGCGAUAAGCGUCGGUGAGGUGAUAUGAACCGUUAUAACCGGCGAUUUCCGAAUGGGGAAACCCAGUGUGUUUCGACACACUAUCAUUAACUGAAUCCAUAGGUUAAUGAGGCGAACCGGGGGAACUGAAACAUCUAAGUACCCCGAGGAAAAGAAAUCAACCGAGAUUCCCCCAGUAGCGGCGAGCGAACGGGGAGGAGCCCAGAGCCUGAAUCAGUGUGUGUGUUAGUGGAAGCGUCUGGAAAGGCGCGCGAUACAGGGUGACAGCCCCGUACACAAAAAUGCACAUAUUGUGAGCUCGAUGAGUAGGGCGGGACACGUGGUAUCCUGUCUGAAUAUGGGGGGACCAUCCUCCAAGGCUAAAUACUCCUGACUGACCGAUAGUGAACCAGUACCGUGAGGGAAAGGCGAAAAGAACCCCGGCGAGGGGAGUGAAAAAGAACCUGAAACCGUGUACGUACAAGCAGUGGGAGCCUCUUAAUGGGGUGACUGCGUACCUUUUGUAUAAUGGGUCAGCGACUUAUAUUCUGUAGCAAGGUUAACCGAAUAGGGGAGCCGAAGGGAAACCGAGUCUUAACUGGGCGUUAAGUUGCAGGGUAUAGACCCGAAACCCGGUGAUCUAGCCAUGGGCAGGUUGAAGGUUGGGUAACACUAACUGGAGGACCGAACCGACUAAUGUUGAAAAAUUAGCGGAUGACUUGUGGCUGGGGGUGAAAGGCCAAUCAAACCGGGAGAUAGCUGGUUCUCCCCGAAAGCUAUUUAGGUAGCGCCUCGUGAAUUCAUCUCCGGGGGUAGAGCACUGUUUCGGCAAGGGGGUCAUCCCGACUUACCAACCCGAUGCAAACUGCGAAUACCGGAGAAUGUUAUCACGGGAGACACACGGCGGGUGCUAACGUCCGUCGUGAAGAGGGAAACAACCCAGACCGCCAGCUAAGGUCCCAAAGUCAUGGUUAAGUGGGAAACGAUGUGGGAAGGCCCAGACAGCCAGGAUGUUGGCUUAGAAGCAGCCAUCAUUUAAAGAAAGCGUAAUAGCUCACUGGUCGAGUCGGCCUGCGCGGAAGAUGUAACGGGGCUAAACCAUGCACCGAAGCUGCGGCAGCGACACUAUGUGUUGUUGGGUAGGGGAGCGUUCUGUAAGCCUGUGAAGGUGUACUGUGAGGUAUGCUGGAGGUAUCAGAAGUGCGAAUGCUGACAUAAGUAACGAUAAAGCGGGUGAAAAGCCCGCUCGCCGGAAGACCAAGGGUUCCUGUCCAACGUUAAUCGGGGCAGGGUGAGUCGACCCCUAAGGCGAGGCCGAAAGGCGUAGUCGAUGGGAAACAGGUUAAUAUUCCUGUACUUGGUGUUACUGCGAAGGGGGGACGGAGAAGGCUAUGUUGGCCGGGCGACGGUUGUCCCGGUUUAAGCGUGUAGGCUGGUUUUCCAGGCAAAUCCGGAAAAUCAAGGCUGAGGCGUGAUGACGAGGCACUACGGUGCUGAAGCGACAAAUGCCCUGCUUCCAGGAAAAGCCUCUAAGCAUCAGGUAACAUCAAAUCGUACCCCAAACCGACACAGGUGGUCAGGUAGAGAAUACCAAGGCGCUUGAGAGAACUCGGGUGAAGGAACUAGGCAAAAUGGUGCCGUAACUUCGGGAGAAGGCACGCUGAUAUGUAGGUGAAGCGACUUGCUCGUGGAGCUGAAAUCAGUCGAAGAUACCAGCUGGCUGCAACUGUUUAUUAAAAACACAGCACUGUGCAAACACGAAAGUGGACGUAUACGGUGUGACGCCUGCCCGGUGCCGGAAGGUUAAUUGAUGGGGUUAGCGGUAACGCGAAGUUCUUGAUCGAAGCCCCGGUAAACGGCGGCCGUAACUAUAACGGUCCUAAGGUAGCGAAAUUCCUUGUCGGGUAAGUUCCGACCUGCACGAAUGGCGUAAUGAUGGCCAGGCUGUCUCCACCCGAGACUCAGUGAAAUUGAACUCGCUGUGAAGAUGCAGUGUACCCGCGGCAAGACGGAAAGACCCCGUGAACCUUUACUAUAGCUUGACACUGAACAUUGAGCCUUGAUGUGUAGGAUAGGUGGGAGGCUUUGAAGUGUGGACGCCAGUCUGCAUGGAGCCGACCUUGAAAUACCACCCUUUAAUGUUUGAUGUUCUAACGUGGGCCCCUUACCGGGGUUGCGGACAGUGUCUGGUGGGUAGUUUGACUGGGGCGGUCUCCUCCUAAAGAGUAACGGAGGAGCACGAAGGUUGGCUAAUCCUGGUCGGACAUCAGGAGGUUAGUGCAAUGGCAUAAGCCAGCUUGACUGCGAGCGUGACGGCGCGAGCAGGUGCGAAAGCAGGUCAUAGUGAUCCGGUGGUUCUGAAUGGAAGGGCCAUCGCUCAACGGAUAAAAGGUACUCCGGGGAUAACAGGCUGAUACCGCCCAAGAGUUCAUAUCGACGGCGGUGUUUGGCACCUCGAUGUCGGCUCAUCACAUCCUGGGGCUGAAGUAGGUCCCAAGGGUAUGGCUGUUCGCCAUUUAAAGUGGUACGCGAGCUGGGUUUAGAACGUCGUGAGACAGUUCGGUCCCUAUCUGCCGUGGGCGCUGGAGAACUGAGGGGGGCUGCUCCUAGUACGAGAGGACCGGAGUGGACGCAUCACUGGUGUUCGGGUUGUCAUGCCAAUGGCACUGCCCGGUAGCUAAAUGCGGAAGAGAUAAGUGCUGAAAGCAUCUAAGCACGAAACUUGCCCCGAGAUGAGUUCUCCCUGACUCCUUGAGAGUCCUGAAGGAACGUUGAAGACGACGACGUUGAUAGGCCGGGUGUGUAAGCGCAGCGAUGCGUUGAGCUAACCGGUACUAAUGAACCGUGAGGCUUAACCUU